GAUGAACGCUAGCGGCAGGCCUAACACAUGCAAGUCGAGGGGCAGCACGUCUUCGGAUGGUGGCGACCGGCGCACGGGUGCGUAACGCGUAUGCAACCUACCUCUUACAGUGGGAUAGCCCAGAGAAAUUUGGAUUAAUACCGCAUAGUAUGCGACAUCAGCAUUGAUGACGUAUUAAACAUUCAUGGGUAAGAGAUGGGCAUGCGUUCUAUUAGUUAGUUGGAGUGGUAACGGCACCCCAAGACAGCGAUAGAUAGGGCCCGUGAGAGGGGAGUCCCCACACUGGUACUGAGACACGGACCAGACUCCUACGGGAGGCAGCAGUGAGGAAUAUUGGACAAUGGCGGGAGCCUGANCAGCAUGCCGCGUGC
rnacentral:rRNA from 1 species